UUCCUACGGGGGGCAGCAGUCGGGAAUAUUGCGCAAUGGAGGAAACUCUGACGCAGUGACGCCGCGUAUAGGAAGAAGGUUUUCGGAUUGUAAACUAUUGUCGUGAGGGAAGAAAUUGACAGUACCUCAGGAGGAAGCUCCGGCUAACUAUGUGCCAGCAGCCGCGGUAAUACAUAGGGAGCAAGCGUUAUCCGGAUUUAUUGGGUUUAAAGGGUGCGCAGGCGGUCUGUUAAGUCAGCGGUCAAAGCCCGGGGCUCAACCCCGGCCCGCCGUUGAAACUGGCAGUCUCGAGUUGGAGAGAAGUA
rnacentral:rRNA from 1 species